AUGUCUUCUACCUCUACUUAUCUGACUGCAGAGAGGAUGACAGAGAACAGUGGACACACAGUUUAACAUGAUGGACUAUAGGACAGGACUGCUGCUUUUAACUCUCUGCUGGGCAGGUGUUGAUGGUCAGACUCUGACUGAAUCUGAACCAGUGGUUAAAAGACCUGGAGAAUCCCACAGACUGACCUGUACAACAUCUGGAUUCACAUUCAGCAGCUACGCUAUGGCCUGGGUCAGACAGGCUCCUGGAAAAGGCCUGGAGUGGAUUGCCUGGCAUGAUAGUGGUAGUGGUAGCACCACAUACUACUCUCAGUCAGUCCAAGGCCGGUUUACCAUCUCCAAAGACAACAGCAGACAGCAGGUGUAUCUGCAGAUGAACAGUCUGAAGACUGAAGAUUCUGCUGUUUAUUAUUGUGCUCGAGAGUCACAGUGACUGGAGUUGGUUGAGCAGCUGUAC